CAAGGUUUCCGUAGGUGAACCUGCGGAAGGAUCAUUACCGAGUGAGGGCCCUCUGGGUCCAACCUCCCACCCGUGUUUAUUUUACCUUGUUGCUUCGGCGGGCCCGCCUUAACUGGCCGCCGGGGGGCUUACGCCCCCGGGCCCGCGCCCGCCGAAGACACCCUCGAACUCUGUCUGAAGAUUGUAGUCUGAGUGAAAAUAUAAAUUAUUUAAAACUUUCAACAACGGAUCUCUUGGUUCCGGCAUCGAUGAAGAACGCAGCGAAAUGCGAUACGUAAUGUGAAUUGCAAAUUCAGUGAAUCAUCGAGUCUUUGAACGCACAUUGCGCCCCCUGGUAUUCCGGGGGGCAUGCCUGUCCGAGCGUCAUUGCUGCCCUCAAGCACGGCUUGUGUGUUGGGCCCCGUCCUCCGAUCCCGGGGGACGGGCCCGAAAGGCAGCGGCGGCACCGCGUCCGGUCCUCGAGCGUAUGGGGCUUUGUCACCCGCUCUGUAGGCCCGGCCGGCGCUUGCCGAUCAACCCAAAUUUUUA
rnacentral:rRNA from 1 species